UACGUAGGUGGCGAGCGUUGUCCGGAUUUACUGGGUAUAAAGGGAGCGCAGGCGGGACAGCAAGUCAGCGGUGAAGUGCAUGGGCUUAACCCAUGAACUGCCGUUGAAACUGUUGUUCUUGAGUGAAGUAGAGGCAAGCGGAAUUCCGAGUGUAGCGGUGAAAUGCGCAGAUAUUCGGAGGAACACCAGUGGCGAAGGCGGCUUGCUGGGCUUUUACUGACGCUGAGGCUCGAAAGUGUGGGGAGCAAAC
rnacentral:rRNA from 1 species